CGUUUAUUUUCCACGAUGCGUGGGUUCAGGCGCACGUUUGAACGCUCAAGAAUGGAAGAGAGCCGCCCUGUUGGAAUGUGGUUCAACUCCAAAGACCUUAGAGGUUGGGACAAAACCUGUUCCUGCAAACUAAGCAUUCCAGUGAUGCUCCAGCAUCUCCUCUCCAAGCCUGAGGAAUCCAACUGUCUCCAAGAGUGAAUUCAGGUUGUCCUGAUGGUGGUGAUAUGUUCAUCUAUCUUAUGAUGCCCACUGGUGUGCUCAGGAUCGAACUCCUGGAAAGAGUUAAAGAUGGAGCAGCUUCCUCGCGUGUGUUACCAAAAAGCUUCCAGAGUUAUCAGGUGCGGUUGCCCGUAAUGUGCAUAUUUUCUCAG